rnacentral:rRNA from 1 species
AUUGAACGCUGGCGGCAGGCCUAACACAUGCAAGUCGAGCGGAUGAAGGGAGCUUGCUCCUGGAUUCAGCGGCGGACGGGUGAGUAAUGCCUAGGAAUCUGCCUGGUAGUGGGGGAUAACGUCCGGAAACGGGCGCUAAUACCGCAUACGUCCUGAGGGAGAAAGUGGGGGAUCUUCGGACCUCACGCUAUCAGAUGAGCCUAGGUCGGAUUAGCUAGUUGGUGGGGUAAAGGCCUACCAAGGCGACGAUCCGUAACUGGUCUGAGAGGAUGAUCAGUCACACUGGAACUGGGACACGGUCCAGACUCCUACGGGAGGCAGCAGUGGGGAAUAUUGGACAAUGGGCGAAAGCCUGAUCCGGCCAUGCCGCGUGUGUGAAGAAGGUCUUCGGAUUGUAAAGCACUUUAAGUUGGGAGGAAGGGCAGUAAGUUAAUACCUUGCUGUUUUGACGUUACCAACAGAAUAAGCACCGGCUAACUUCGUG